rnacentral:rRNA from 1 species
AUGUCGUAUUUGACAGCUGUCAGUGCGACAUUUCUUACGGAUGGUCAGGUCGACAGCGGCAACAUCGUCUUCAUUGUACCAAGGUGCUGCUACUACUACAACGGCAACCUCCUACUUCCCGAACAUGACCAUUGCAGCUAUCCUUGCUUUUAUAGUGCUAAGCUUGACUCCUCCAUGGUUAUAAUAAUGGACUUACAUGUAAGUAAACUGAUGAUGCAUGUCAUGGCUAAGGAUUUGGUUCCAACAGAAGCAACACAUAUUCAUCUUGCCUACUCUAGCAGGAACAGGACAAAAAUGCUGCUCGAAGAAAAUCGCAAGGAAGACAGGCGGGUCUGGGCGCAGCGUCGAGGGAUCUGGCGGCUGGUGCGGCGGCUUGCUCCAGUGGCCGCGGUGUCCUGCUCAUCCAGAGAAACAGGGCAUGAGGGAGAGAGGAAAGAGAUGAAAAAGGAGAAGGAGCAGGGGCGCAAGGUGAGGGAGAGGGAUCUGGCGGGUGGUGCGGGGGGCUUCGGUGGCGGCGGCGUCCUUCUCAUCCAGAGAAAGGGAGAGACAGGGCGUGAGGGAGAUAGGAAAGAGAGGAAGAAAGGAGAAGGAGAGGGGGCGCAAGGUGAGGGAGAUGGUCGCCGGCGGUGGCGCCCCCGGACUAAAGGGCAUGAUUUCUGGACCACAGAUGAUGCAUUUUAUUGGCAGGCACAAUCAAGGGCCCAUCAUCUUUCUGCUAUAGGUGGGGAAGCCCCCAUCCCCCCUCCUACAUCACCUAGCCUGCUGCAACUAUGUUACGAUUUUCUCCCCUGCCUGCAAGUUGGUACAGAGCCGAAACCCAACUGUCUUCCAAUGGAGAUUAAGAAGGCUCUCAAGGGUCUGAGAGUUGAGGUCUCCCACCGAGGAGAGGUGCGCAGGAAGUACCGCAUCAAUGGCUUGACAAAGCAGUCUAGCAGAGAUUUGACCGGCGAAACCAAGACUGUGAGGGACUACUUUCGAGAAACCUGCAAGCUGCAACUAAGUUACGAUUUUCUCCCCUGCCUGCAAGUUGGUACAGAGCAGAAACCCAACUAUCUUCCAAUGGAGGUUUGUGCAUUGGAGGCCAAGUUGCUGCUGUGGUGGUAUGGCAAGACUGUGAACUCAACUCAUCGGCUGUGGCAAAAUGAUCUCCCUACAAGUACUAACUAA